ACACCCAGCUAUUUUUUUUUUUUUUUGUAGUGUUAGUAGAGACAAGAUUUCACCAUGUUGGCCAGGCUGGUCUUGAACUCCUGACCUCAGGUGAUCCACCUGCCUCGGCCUCCCAGAGAGCUGGGAUUUAGAAGCGUGAGCCACCACUCCCGGCCAAUAUAUUUGUAUUUGUAAGUUCACAUCAUUCAAAAAUCUUUAUAUCUGGUUUCUACCUAUUUGAGACAAUAUCCUAUGAAUUGGUUUUUAAAUUAAAAGAACAUCAUAUUGGGGAGAAGAUUGCUCUGUAAUGUUUGUUCAAGAAAGCAGCAAACUAGGCUGAGUGCGGCAGCUCACCCUUGCAAUCUCAGCACUCUGGGAGGCUGAGGCUGGCGGAUCACUUAAGGCCAGGAAUUCGAGACCAACCUGGCCAACAUGAUGAAACCCUGUCCCUACUAAAAAUACAAAGAUUAGCCGGAUGUGGUGGCAUGCACCUGUAGUCCCAGAUAGUCAGGAGGCUGAGGUGGGAGAAUUGCUGGAACCUGGGAGGCAGAGGUUGCAGUGAGCCGAGAUUGCACUACUGCACUCCAGCAAGUGCAAUGAGACCCUGCCUCAAAAAUAAAUAAAUAAAGCAGCAAACUGAUUUUUUAAGCAAAAAAAAAGAAAGAAAGAAAGAAAGAAAAAGGCUGCCAGUAUCAUGUGAAAUUUAGAGCCCUACUUCUAAAAUACCGUUGCUGCAUAAGAUUUUAGGAAUUCAGAUGCAUCACUAAAUAUUUUUUUUUUAAGUGGUGCAAGUAUGAAAGGAAAGGGCUCUGAGCCAGGCGCAGUGGCUCACACCUGUAAUCCAAGCACUUAGGGAGGCUGGGGUGGACAGAUCACUUGAGGUCAGGAGUUCAAGACCAGCCUGGCCAAUGUGGUGAAAUCCCAUCUCUACUAAAAAUACAAAAAUUAGCCAGGCGUGGUGGUGCACACCUGUAAUCCCAGCUACACAGGAAGCUGAGGCAGGAGAAUAGCUUAAACCUGGGAGGCAGAGGUUGCAGUGAGCCGAGAUCCCGCCACUGCACUCCUGAGUGGCAGAGUAAGACUCCGUCUAAAAAAAAAAAAGGGCUGUAGGCUGGCCUGGUGGCUCAUGCCUGUAAUCCCAGCAGUUUGGGAGGCCGAAGCGGGGCAGAUCGAGACCAGCCUGGCCAACAUGGCGAAACCUCAUGCCUACCAAAAAUACAAAAAAUUAGCCAGACGUGGUGGUGGGCGCCUGUAAUCCCAGCUACUCGGGAGGUUGAGGCAGGAAAAUCGCUUGAACCCAGAAGGUGGAGGUUGCAGUGAGCCAAGAUCGUACCAUUGCAUUCCAGCCUGGGCAACAGCGAGACUCCAUCUAAAAAAAAAAAAAAAAAAGCCGAGCGUGAUGUCAUGUGCCCAUAACCCCAACUACUCAGGAGGCUGAGACACGAGAAUAACUUGAACCCAGGAGAUGGAGAUUGCAGUAAGCUGAGAUCACGCCGCUGCACUCCAGCCUGGGAGACAGAGGAAGACUGUUUCAAAAAAAAUUAAAGAGCUGAUACCUUUUGCAGUGGGAAAUUCUUAAAGUUUUAAGCCAAGUGCCUAUUUUUAACUGAUCAUAGUGUGAUGUCCACAGAGGCACAAUGUAUAUUAGUACUUUCUUCCAUAUUUGGUACAUAAUGAAUGCCUUUGGUACUCAUUUUCUGAAUGGUUUGCUCUAGUAGG
rnacentral:lncRNA from 10 species